AAUUUUUUUCAAAUCAAGUCAUGCAUUCAAAACAUUUAUUGAUAAAAUGCACAAUAACUACAUUAAUGUUUACGAUAGCUCAGGUAUAUGGCUAUCGACAGGAAACACUGGAGGACAGGAUGAUUGAUGACAAUGAUAUCAUUGAUUAUAGAUAUUCAAACGGGAUAAAUAAUAAUAAUAAUAUCAAUGAUAUACCAGUGAUUGAUAUAUUCAAUGAUAACGGUUGCAACAAUCAGGAGGGGGAGGACUGCUAUAGUAGUAUAAAGUCGUCGACAAUUGUUUCAUCAGAUUGUCUGACAAUCGAUUCAAU